CUUAGAAAUUCAUAGAGUGGUUUACAUAACUAUAUACUUUAAACGAUACUUUACAUGAAAUAGGAGUUUAUUUGCACAUAUAGGUUUCCAUAGAAUUUGGGCGCGGUUCGACGAUUUCUGAAGGGGGUUUUGAAGUGCAAUCUUAACUGCUAAUAUAUUCAGUUGGCUUAUGCAAAAGGCAAGCAAUACGCUUAUAACACUAUUAACUUCCGUUCAUACAAAGGGCUUUUUCCGAUAUACGGUUUGACCAAAUUUGUCAAAACUUGACUACAAAGCAACGCGGAGAUCGUGCGCUUCGCUCAUAACUGAGUGGUUCUCCUCUAAGGAGCAUCUCAAAUUUCGGUAAGGCGCAUUGAUUUUCGAAACUCUCGAAAGCGAGUGGUUUCGUUGCUAACUUUUUGUACUGUUCUUUUUUUUAGCUAUAAAGUUUAAGAGCGAUCAAAGAAUCAUGCAUUAUUCGAAGAUAAUUCUCCUUCUCUUGUCGAUAUUGGUGAAUUUUGAAAUUUUCCAUGGAGCUCCCGCAAGUCAGGAGAAAG
rnacentral:lncRNA from 1 species